GAUAAUAUAUAAUAAUUCACGAAGGGUUCUGAGCUAACCAAUAAAUUAUAUUAGCAAUAUAAAUUAUAUGUGGCAAUAUAUAAUUAAUAUUGUUGGUUAGGGGUGAUAGGCCUUUCAAGGUGCCCGAUAUCUUGAUGUUUAGGAAAAAUAUUAAGUAUUAACUCAACUUUGAAGCGGUGAGGUUUCAGAGAGCUACUAAAUAUAUUUAUUAAAAUAUAAAAUACUUAACGGUAAUUAUAUUACAUAAUGGUUUAUAAAGUAUUCAGUGGUUGUAUCUAUUACUAAACUGUGUCUUAAAAUUUUGCAUAGGUAAUAUUACUGUUAAUAUUAGUAUAUUAUUAAUACUCAUAAAGGAACUCGGCAAAUAAUUACUUGACUGUUUAUCAAAAACAUAGCUGGGCGUUUAACUUGCUUAGUUAUUUCUGCUCAAUGGUAAACUAAAUAGCCGCAGUACUCUGACUGUGCAAAGGUAGCAUAAUCAUUUGGCUUAUAAUUGAAGUCUGGCAUGAAAGAAAACACAGGUAAUUACUGUCUCCACAGGUGAAAUUGAACUUAUUUAAUAGGUGAAAAUACCUAUUUAUAUAUAAUAGACGAGAAGACCCUAGAAAUUUUUUAGACAAUAAGGUUUUUUAUUCAUAUUUUGUUGGGGCGACAGAAUAACAUAUAACUUAUUUUAUCUAAUAUGCACUUUGUUUUGAGAAAAAUUAAAUUACUCUAGGGAUAACAGCAUAAUUUGAUAAAGUUUGUGACCUCGAUGUUGGACUAGGGAUUUUAUUGACCAGCAGUUUAUAAAAUAGGCUCUGUUCGAGCUUUUAUCCCUACAUGAUCUGAGUUCAGACCGGC
rnacentral:rRNA from 1 species